rnacentral:rRNA from 2 species
AAUCCAUAGGUUAAUGAGGCGAACCGGGGGAACUGAAACAUCUAAGUACCCCGAGGAAAAGAAAUCAACCGAGAUUCCCCCAGUAGCGGCGAGCGAACGGGGAGGAGCCCAGAGCCUGAAUCAGCAUGUGUGUUAGUGGAAGCGUCUGGAAAGGCGCGCGAUACAGGGUGACAGCCCCGUACACAAAAGCGCAUGUGCUGUGAGCUCGAUGAGUAGGGCGGGACACGUGGUAUCCUGUCUGAAUAUGGGGGGACCAUCCUCCAAGGCUAAAUACUCCUGACUGACCGAUAGUGAACCAGUACCGUGAGGGAAAGGCGAAAAGAACCCCGGCGAGGGGAGUGAAAAAGAACCUGAAACCGUGUACGUACAAGCAGUGGGAGCACAGGUUUACCUGUGUGACUGCGUACCUUUUGUAUAAUGGGUCAGCGACUUAUAUUCUGUAGCAAGGUUAACCGAAUAGGGGAGCCGGAGGGAAACCGAGUCUUAAUUGGGCGUUAAGUUG